CUACAAGUGACAUGCCAAUGGGCAGAAAAUAAAUUGGAAUGAAGCCCAUGUGAAUGCAUGGAGACAAGGUGAAAAGGUAGAUGAGAAAAAAGUUAGAAAUAUGUGCAGGUACAUUUGACAGGACCAGGAGAUGUCUUGGGCAUUCAUGAUGACGGAAGAGUGGUCAAUAAUGACUCUGUUUUCUAGCUUUUAUCAUGAGAUGGAUGGAGACCCAUAGAAGAAUAAGUUUUGUGAGUGACUGAGUCAUGUAAUGUAUUUUGGAUUUGUUAAAUGUGAGCUACUUUUAAGAAACUGUGGGGAAAAACUUGGUUUUGUUUACAUCCAUGAAUCAUUUGACACAAAAAAUAAUUCUCAGCUGAAGAUACAAAUAUGAGGGCCCUGGCGUAUAAUUGAAGGCACAGGUAUAAAUGGGAUUAUUUAGGGAGGGCUUACAAGUGGAUAGAGAGUAAAUUCACAGACUACAGGUACAAAAUAAUCACCAAUGACAAUAUAUUACGCAGCUUAAGACCAAUUGUAUAUAUUUUCCUGACAACGUCUUUUAGAGCCUGUGACUAGUUUUCUACUGAAGAUGUGGUGAUCUUCUUAUCAAUUUUUAAGAGUACUUAAAUGUUUUAACAAUUAUAUUUAACUCAAAUUAGUUUCCAACUUGUUUUCCUUUAAUUAUAAAGUGUAUAUUUUAUGUGCAUGAAUAUUAAGAAUUUAUGAAGUCAUGUCCAUUGCCUUUGUCUCUUAUUAUUUUAUCAAUGCUUACAAAAGCUUUCCUCAUUAAUGCUUAUAUAAAUCUUCUUUUUUUAUUGCAAAUUUUUCCAUUCCUCUGGUUUAUAAAAUGCCUAAAGUAAAAUGUAUAUCUGAAUUAAUUAAUCGUUAAAUGUCUUUUCAAUUUUCUCAACUCAAUAUAUUGGACAAUUCACCUCUUACUCCCAGUUUUAUCUCUACGUAUAUUAUUCCUAAGAAGCUUUUACACAUACUGAGACUAAAUGGUCUGUUCUAUGUCAUUGAUUCUAUUUGCCUAGUUGUCUAUUUACCUUGUAGUUUUGAGGUAAUAAAUGGUCCUUUAAAC
rnacentral:lncRNA from 1 species